rnacentral:rRNA from 1 species
AAACUUCGCAAUAAGCGAAAGCUUGACGGGGCCAUCCCGAGUGCCAUCUGCUGAGGAUGGCUUUUACCCAGUAUAGAUAGCUGGGGGAAUAAGGAGAGGGCAAGUCUGGUGUCAGCCGCCGCGGUAAUACCAGCUCUCCGAGUUGUGGGGACGUUUAUUGAGCCUGAAGCAUCCGUAGCCGGCUGGGCUAGUCCCCUGUUAAAUCCAGCGAUAAAUCGUUGGCCUGCGGGGGAUACUGCUCGGCUAGGGGGCGGGAGAGGCCGUCGGUAUUCUUGGGGUAGGGGUGAAAUCCUAUAAUCCCAGGAGGACCACCAGUGGCGAAGGCUGUCGGCUAGAACGCGCUCGACGGUGAGGGAUGAAAGCUGGGGGAGCGAACCGG